rnacentral:rRNA from 1 species
AUUGAACGCUGGCAGCAUGCCUUACACAUGCAAGUCGAACGGCAGCAUGGAGGGCUUGCUCUCUGAUGGCGAGUGGCGAACGGGUGAGUAAAGCAUCGGAACGUACCGUGUAGUGGGGGAUAACGUAGCGAAAGUUACGCUAAUACCGCAUACGCACUGAGGUGGAAAGCAGGGGAUCGUAAGACCUUGCGCUAUACGAGCGGCCGAUGUCAGAUUAGCUAGUUGGUAGGGUAAAGGCCUACCAAGGCGACGAUCUGUAGCGGGUCUGAGAGGAUGAUCCGCCACACUGGGACUGAGACACGGCCCAGACGCCUACGGGAGGCAGCAGUGGGGAAUUUUGGACAAUGGGGGCAACCCUGAUCCAGCCAUGCCGCGUGAUUGAAGAAGGCCUUCGGGUUGUAAAGCUCUUUCGGCCGGGAAGAAAUCGCACAGGCUAAUACCCUGUGUGGAUGACGGUACCGGCAUAAGAAGCACCGGCUAACUACGUGCCAGCCGCCGCAGUAA